AGUGAACGCUGGCGGCGGGCCUAACACAUGCAAGUCGAGCGGCAGCGCGGGGGCAACCCUGGCGGCGAGCGGCGGACGGGUGAGGAAUUCGUCGGAAUCUGCCUUUUUGUGGGGGAUAACGUAGGGAAACUUACGCUAAUACCGCAUACGUCCUACGGGAGAAAGUGGGGGACCGCAAGGCCUCACGCAGAAAGAUGAGCCGACGACCGAUUAGCUAGUUGGUGGGGUAAAGGCCCACCAAGGCGACGAUCGGUAGCUGGUCUGAGAGGAUGAUCAGCCGCACUGGGACUGAGACACGGCCCAGACUCCUACGGGAGGCAGCAGUGGGGAAUAUUGGACAAUGGGCGCAAGCCUGAUCCAGCCAUGCCGCGUGUGUGAAGAAGGCCUUCGGGUUGUAAAGCACUUUUGUCCGGAAAGAAAUCCCUGGAGCUAAUACCUUCGGGGGAUGACGGUACCGGAAGAAUAAGCACCGGCUAACUUCGUG
rnacentral:rRNA from 1 species